GCCCGCCUAGCUCAAUCGGAUAGAGCGUCAGACUCUUAAACUGUCAGGCGGCUUACGCGCACAUCUGAAGGCUGUGGGUUCGACCCCCACGGUGGGCU